GACGAACGCUGGCGGCGUGCUUAACACAUGCAAGUCGAACGGAAAGGCCCUGCUUUUGUUGGGUGCUCGAGUGGCGAACGGGUGAGUAACACGUGAGUAACCUGCCCUUGACUUUGGGAUAACUUCAGGAAACUGGGGCUAAUACCGGAUAUGAGCUCCUGCUGCAUGGUGGGGGUUGGAAAGUUUCGGCGGUUGGGGAUGGACUCGCGGCUUAUCAGCUUGUUGGUGGGGUAGUGGCUUACCAAGGCUUUGACGGGUAGCCGGCCUGAGAGGGUGACCGGCCACAUUGGGACUGAGAUACGGCCCAGACUCCUACGGGAGGCAGCGGUGGGAAAUAUUGCACAAUGGGCGGAAGCCUGAUGCAGCAACGCCGGGUGCGGGAUGACGGCCUUCGGGUUGUAAACCGCUUUCGCAUGUGACGAAGCGUGAGUGACGGUAAUGGGUAAAGAAGCACCGGCUAACUACGUG
rnacentral:rRNA from 1 species